AGAGUUUGAUCAUGGCUCAGAACGAACGCUGACGGCGUGCUUAACACAUGCAAGUCGCACGAGAAUUUCUACCUUCGGGUGGAAUAGUAAAGUGGCGCACGGGUGAGUAACGCGUGGAUAAUCUGCCUUCAAGUAGGGAAUAACAUUGCGAAAGCGAUGCUAAUACCGUAUAAGCUCACGAUUUGACUAGUUGUGGGAAAAGAUGGCCUAGUCUAUGCUAUCGCUUGAAGAUGAGUCCGCGUACCAUUAGCUUGUUGGUAGGGUAAUGGCCUACCAAGGCUACGAUGGUUAGCUGGCCUGAGAGGGCGGCCAGCCACACUGGAACUGAGACACGGUCCAGACUCCUACGGGAGGCAGCAGUGGGGAAUAUUGCGCAAUGGGGGAAACCCUGACGCAGCGACGCCGUGUGAGUGAUGAAGGUUUUCGGAUCGUAAAGCUCUGUCGGGUGGAAAGAAUAAAGGCUGUGUAAAUAAUGCAGUCUGAUGACGGUACCACCAAAGGAAGCACCGGCUAACUCCGUGCCAGCAGCCGCGGUAAUACGGAGGGUGCAAGCGUUGUUCGGAAUUAUUGGGCGUAAAGGGCGUGUAGGCGGGUAUGCAGGUCAGGUGUGAAAUCCCUCGGCUCAACCGAGGAAGUGCAUCUGAAACCGCGUAUCUUGAGUACGAGAGAGGCAGAUGGAAUUCCCAGUGUAGAGGUGAAAUUCAUAGAUAUUGGGAAGAACACCGGUGGCGAAAGC
rnacentral:rRNA from 1 species